AGCGAGCGAACAGAAGGGAGCUUGCUCCCGGAUGUUAGCGGCGGACGGGUGAGUAACACGUGGGUAACCUGCCUGUAAGACUGGGAUAAGAAACCGGAGCUAAUACCGGAUAGUUCCUUGAACCGCAUGGUUCAAGGAUGAAAGACGGUUUCGGCUGUCACUUACAGAUGGACCCGCGGCGCAUUAGCUAGUUGGUGGGGUAAUGGCUCACCAAGGCGACGAUGCGUCUGAGAGGGUGAUCGGCCACACUGGGACUGAGACACGGCCCAGACCCUACGGGAGGCAGCAGUAGGGAAUCUUCCGCAAUGGACGAAAGUCUGACGGAGCAACGCCGCGUGAGUGAUGAGGUUUUCGGAUCGUAAAGCUCUGUUGUUAGGGAAGAACAAGUGCGAGAGUAACUGCUCGCACCUUGACGGUACCUAACCAGAAAGCCACGGCUAACUACGUGCCGCAGCCGCGGUAAUACGUAGGUGGCAAGCGUUUCCGGAAUUAUUGGGCGUAAAGGGCUCGCAGGCGGUUAAAUUCUUAAGUCUGAUGUGAAAGCCCCCGGCUCAACCGGGGAGGGUCAUUGGAAACUGGGAAACUUGAGUGCAGAAGAGGAGAGUGGAAUUCCACGUGUUCGCGGAAAUGCGUAGAGAUGUGGAGGAACACCAGUGGCGAAGGCGACUCUCUGGUCUGUAACUGACGCUGAGGAGCGAAAGCGUGGGGAGCGAACAGGAUUAGAUACCCUGGUAGUCCACGCCGUAAAGAUGAGUGCUAAGUGUUAGGGGGUUUCCGCCCCUUAGUGCUGCAGCUAACGCAUUAAGCACUCCGCCUGGGAGUACGGUCGCAAGACUGAAACUCAAAGGAAUUGACGGGGGCCCGCACAAGCGGUGGAGCAUGUGGUUUAAUUCGAAGCAACGCGAAGAACCUUACCAGGUCUUGACAUCCUCUGACAACCCUAGAGAUAGGGCUUUCCCUUCGGGGACAGAGUGACAGGUGGUGCAUGGUUGUCGUCAGCUCGUGUCGUGAGAUGUUGGGUUAAGUCCCGCAACGAGCGCAACCCUUGAUCUUAGUUGCCGCAUUUAGUUGGGCACUCUAAGGUGACUGCCGGUGACAAACCGGAGGAAGGUGGGGAUGACGUCAAAUCAUCAUGCCCCUUAUGACCUGGGCUACACACGUGCUACAAUGGACAGAAAAAGGGCUGCGAGACCGCAAGGUUUAGCCAAUCCCAUAAAUCUGUUCUCAGUUCGGAUCGCAGUCUGCAACUCGACUGCGUGAAGCUGGAAUCGCUAGUAAUCGCGGAUCGCAUGCCGCGGUGAAUAGUUCCCGG
rnacentral:rRNA from 1 species